UACGUAGGGUGCAAGCGUUAAUCGGAAUUACUGGGCGUAAAGCGUGCGCAGGCGGUUAUGUAAGACAGGUGUGAAAUCCCCGGGCUUAACCUGGGAACUGCAUUUGUGACUGCAUAGCUAGAGUACGGUAGAGGGGGAUGGAAUUCCGCGUGUAGCAGUGAAAUGCGUAGAUAUGCGGAGGAACACCGAUGGCGAAGGCAAUCCCCUGGACCUGUACUGACGCUCAUGCACGAAAGCGUGGGGAGCGGAACAGGAU
rnacentral:rRNA from 1 species